GGGGACAUAGCUCAGCUGGGAGAGCACCUGCUUUGCAAGCAGGGGGUCAGGGGUUCGAAUCCCCUUGUCUCCA
rfam:Fervidobacterium nodosum Rt17-B1, complete genome.